UAGGGAAUCUUCCGCAAUGGACGCAAGUCUGACGGAGCAACGCCGCGUGAGUGAAGAAGGAUUUCGGUUCGUAAAACUCUGUUGUUAGAGAAGAACAGCGCAUAGAGUAACUGUUAUGCGUGUGACGGUAUCUAACCAGAAAGCCACGGCUAACUACGUGCCAGCAGCCGCGGUAAUACGUAGGUCCCGAGCGUUGUCCGGAUUUAUUGGGCGUAAAGCGAGCGCAGGCGGUUAGAUAAGUCUGAAGUUAAAGGCAGUGGCUCAACCAUUGUAGGCUUUGGAAACUGGUUGACUUGAGUGCAGAAGAGGAGAGUGGAAUUCCAUGUGUAGCGGUGAAAUGCGUAGAUAUAUGGAGGAACACCAGUGGCGAAGGCGACUCUCUGGUCUGUAACUGACGCUGAGGCUCGAAAGCGUGGGUAGCAAACAGG
rnacentral:rRNA from 1 species